GGCAAGAGAAAGAUUUUCUUGAGAUUGGAGACAGAAUCCAUGGAGUUGGAGAAAAAUCUUUCCUAAAUUGGUUCGUCCCCCUUCAAAACUUAUCCGCCUCCAGCCUCUCUCUUAGCCACCUCGUCCAACUCAUUCUUCACACCGGAAGGCGAAGGUACAAAAGCGGCCCCAUUAUUCGACUGCUGUCGAGCUCUGGUUUACAGACCAUUGUGGAUCGGAGGGAAAGGUACGGGCGGCGGCUUCUCACGAGCCUGGCGCUUGGACGAGGUUGUUUGAGGAGUCGAACUGCUGCCGCUGCCGGUGGUGCUUGCUUUUCUCUUCUGUCCUCCGCCUCUCCUCCUCGAACUGGCAGGUGCAUCGGUCACCGGAGCCUCGACCGAUGCAGCCGCCGGCGGUGGGGUUCCGGUG
rnacentral:lncRNA from 1 species